UAUAUACUCCCUCCAUCCAGAAAUACUUGUCAUCAAAAUGGAUAAAAGGGAUGUAUCUAGAUGUAUUUUAGUUUUAGAUACAUCCCUUUUUGUCCAUUUUGAUGACAAGUAUUUUCGGACGGAGGGAGUAUAAU
rnacentral:pre_miRNA from 1 species